rnacentral:rRNA from 1 species
UACGUAGGGUGCAAGCGUUAAUCGGAAUUACUGGGCGUAAAGCGUGCGCAGGCGGUUUUUGUAAGUCAGAUGUGAAAUCCCCCGGGCUUAACCUGGGAACUGCGUUUGAAACUACAAGGCUAGAGUGUGGCAGAGGGGGGGUGGAAUUCCACGUGUAGCAGUGAAAUGCGUAGAGAUGCAGAGGAACACCGAUGGCGAAGGCAGCCCCCUGGGCUAACACUGACGCUCAGGCACGAAAGCGUGGGGAGCAAACAGG